AGUUCUGUAUCCCGGAUGGUACCUGGUCAGAAGCCCUGCUGGGUGAUGGAGCACGGAGCAGGGGCAUCGCCUCCUUCCCCCGAGGAGGCUUCACUAAGGCAGAUACUCCGUGUCUCCUCGAUGUGUGCUUGAGCUGUACUGGAUCAGAGACAGAGCAGGGAGGGGAUCAUAAGAAGACGAUGUACUUUCUCUUCCUCUCCCACAACCAGAAAUUUUGGUUCUCUUUGCAGGUGCACUCUGCUCCCAGCCUGCUCUGGCGCAGUCUGCAGGCCAGUCUGCCGCAGGGAUUGCCCAGCAGAAGUCUGAGCAGCGUUGGUUUGCCCGUGUUUGACAGAUGGAAAGUCACUGAAACGAAGCAGUGGGGCCUGUGUCCUUGGCAGGCAGGCGUUGUCCACAGGGAGCCCUGGGGCUUGUGCCGGAUGCGUUGGAUUAGUGUCCGAGAGGCAGAUCGCAAUGAUUUCCACGGUGAGUUGGUUGGCUUGUCCUUCACGUUUCUGCCAUAUGGGCCUUGGGCCGGUCCAGCUCCUUCCUUGUGCUUGGGUGGAUGGUCCUGGUAUCAGCACAGCGUGGGAGGAGGCAAAAUCCCUCCUUGCUGUGAUGACCUGACUGUGCAUCGGGACGAGCAAUAG
rnacentral:lncRNA from 1 species